rnacentral:lncRNA from 1 species
UUCAGUUGGAAUUCGUGCUCACCCUCCUCCGUUUUGAUGGCCGGAUCUCCGGCCUACUGGUGGCCACCCAAGGGAUGUCACCGGCGAUCUUUCCCUAGGCGGUGGCCGGCUGAUCAGGCCUUUUCCGAUGGUCGCUUUUCUUUUGGGGACGGACGGCAUGAAGUGGGAACUGCCGGAUCUAGCAAACCCCUCUCCCUAAUCGGAGAGCACCGAUUUUGGGCUCCUCCUCCUCC